rnacentral:rRNA from 1 species
GAUGAACGCUGGCGGCGUGCCUAAUACAUGCAAGUCGAGCGAACAGACGAGGAGCUUGCUCCUCUGACGUUAGCGGCGGACGGGUGUGUAACACGUGGAUAACCUACCUAUAAGACGGGGAUAACUUCGGGAAACCGGAGCUAAUACCGGAUAAUAUAUUGAACCGCAUGGUUCAAUAGUUAAAUACGGCUUUGCUGUCACUUAUAGAUGGUUCCCGGCCGCAUUUACUAGUUGGUAAGGUAACGGCUUAACAAGGCAACGCAGCGUAGCCGACCUGAGAGGGGGAUCGGCCACAAUGGAACUGAGACACGGCCAAGACUCCUACGGGAGGCAGCAGUAGGGAAUCUUCGGCAAGGGGCGAAAGCCUGACGGAGCACCGCCGCGUGAGUGAUGAAGGUCUUCGGAUCGUAAACCUUUGUUAUUAGGGAAGAACAAAUGUAUAAGUAACUAUGCACGUUUUGACGGUACCUAAUCAGAAAGCCACGGCUAACUACGUG